rnacentral:rRNA from 1 species
UAUAAUUAAUAUUAUUUUAAAUUUUAAGUUAUUAAAUGUUAAAUCAUUAAAUUAAAAAGAUUUGGCGGUAUUUUAAAUAAUUAGAGGAACCUGUAUAGUAAUUGAUAGUCCACAAUAAGAUUAACUUAAUUAAAAAUUUAUGUAUUGCUGUUUUUAGAUUAUUAUUAAUUAAAUUUUUAAAUUUUUAAAUUUUAAUUUAAUUCAAGUCAAAAUAUAGUUUAUUUAAGAAUUAAUAUGGGUUACAAUUUUUUUUAUAAUGGAUAAAAUUAAUUUAAAUUAUUUUUAAAAUAGGAUUUAAUAGUAAAUUUAAUUAAUUAAUUAUUUUGAAAUAAAAAUGAAAUAAGU